GCCCUGGUAGCUCAAUUGGUUAGAGCGUCGGACUUUUACGGACAAAAAACACCUUGUCUGUUACAGUUCCGAGAUCCGAAGGCUGCGGGUUCGACCCCCGCCUGGGGCG